UCCAGGUUGUAUAUAAGGACAGGAAAAGGAAAAAGGUUUCAUUUUGAUUGCCACUUCCAGUACUAGCCACCUAGAGCACUGGUCAAGAGAUUUGGUGGCUCUAUUCUGGCCCAGCAAGAAGAGGGUAGUCUGUGGUAAGCAUAGGAGAGAGGAGUGGCUACAAGAUUCAGGUGCCUUUGGGUCUCACGACUUCUAGUAGCAUAGAAAGAAGUGGCUGAAAAGUAAAGGAAUUUGUCUCCUGAAUACCCCAGAACUGGCCUGGUCUAAAUAUCUCACUCCUGCCUGUCUUUCCUGAGGCUCCUUUGGUACCUCAUGUAUCAAGUGUCACCCCACAAGCUCACUGAAAAGAGGAGCAAAGAGACAACCAAAGGGAGAAGUGACUAAAUAAAGAGGAGAGAGAGAUACGCGUAGCUCACUCCCAGAGGAUAGUGGUGCCCAGAUCUUCCCUUACUUAUGGCUGGCAGACUUUGACUGACUCCCUACAGGGGUAAGAAAGGUUGGUGUGAGGAUUGAGAUAACAUAUAAAAUCAGUUGAGAUAUUUUCCUGGCCCCAUAACUGUCAACUACUGGCAUUAAAAUUUGUGUGUGAUCUCUUUAUUUUCUCCGUCAAAGCUCUUCUCUUCCCAUGGAGUCUGACACUAUGUGUCCCCAGUGAUCCUGUGUUGUCUUGAUUCAUGUCAGGGGUCCUCUCCUUUGGGACUCUCUGAGCUUCUUUUGAAGUUGUUGUGUGUGACUUCUUGGGAAAUAGAGUCACUACAGGAUCAGAGCACAAUAAAUCUAGAAGCGAUCUUGACAAUCUUCUAAUUCCCAUGUAGCAAUUUGUAGCACAGAGCAAGAGGUGGGCAGGAGAGGAGAGUCAGUGUUCUGCUGUGGUGUUGUGGGUUGAUGGAAACCUUGACAAAACCAUAAAGGAGAUGGUGAGUGAUUUGGGAUUUUCCUGCUUCCCUUUCAUGCCCUCUGACUUCCUCAGCUACAUUUCAUUCUGGCACCAGGACCACCUCAGCUUGCACCCAAGCCUUUUCUCCCUCCCUGGGAGAAGCAUGGAUUGGGGUCUACAAGCAGUUAUCUGAUUCUGCUCAUGGAUACUGGUAGGAAUGGAGGAUCCUGUGCCAUUUGGCAAUGUUUACAUUUUGACUUUUAAGGCCAUUAAUGGAGAUUAUGUUAGAAUGUAGAACGUGUUUUAGCUUGGAGGGUCUCUCAUUGUCCACUGACAUUUCAGAAAGUCAGGAACUAGCUAAUAGGUAAUUGCUGCUUCAAAGAUAGCCCUCUCCUCCAUCCAUGUGGGGGUUUUUAACAAGGGUAUUUAGAAAAGAGUAUUCCACACUUCCUCAUGGAGCUGUCCUUGACUGUUCAACAGUCCUCACCAUCAGGGAGAGCUCACUUAUCUAAGCUAAAUCCUGUUUGUGCUGCUGGAUUCAUUUUAUUUCCUCCUGUCCUGCUCUCAGUGGAAACAGAAACAGCUGGCGACUGUCCCUUGCACACAGCAAAGUGACUUCUGAGGCUACUUGAUAAAAAGCCUUUCUGACUUCCUGAAGGGAGCCAACAAAGUAGCUGCCCUGGAGGACAUGGAAAGAAAAAUUGGGCACAGAAUAAUUAAGAACUUGCCCAAUGUCAUCCACUUAGCAAGAGCAGAGGCACAACUGAAUCCAGGCAGUUUGGUUCCAGUGCUCAGACCUUCAACCAUAGCAUGAUGUGACAGCUAUGGCCAAAGCUCUGCAUUGAACAUGGGCACCUCUCUGAAAGAUGAGGUAUUUGAUGGUGAGUGAUUCAGCACAUCAUUCUUCUUACAAUGAUACACAAAUAUCGAACAGAGUCU